GGAUGAAGAACGCAGCGAAACGCGAUAUUUCUUGUGAAUUGCAGAAGUGAAUCAUCAGUUUUUGAACGCACAUUGCACUUUGGGGUAUCCCCCAAAGUAUACUUGUUUGAGCGUUGUUUCUCUCUUGGAAUUGCUUUGCUCUUCUAAAAUUUCGAAUCAAAUUCGUUUGAAAAACAACACUAUUCAACCUCAGAUCAAGUAGGAUUACCCGCUGAACUUAAGCAUAUCAAUAAGCGGAGGA
rnacentral:misc_RNA from 1 species